GUGCAACUAGUCCUGGGUGAAUCAUCCUGCAGGCGUGGAUACAGCUGCCCUGCUGCCCCUUCGGCUGCCAGUACAGAUACAGGUAGGUGAAAAUCACAUAUUCGGGAGCCAGUCAGUUUCUUCUCACUGGUUUGAGCAGGCCCUGACAGCCUUUUAGACAAUGGUUGAUCAUUUUAUUCCUAAAGGCAGAAUCACAUCUUAAUUCUCUUUGUUUUCCUUCCAGGAUCUUAUUCAGUCAGUUUUGUACACAAUACUAUGGCAAAAUGAAUCUGCCUAUGAGAUUUCUCUGCUCACAAUCAAACAAGUUGAAACGUCUCAGUCCGAGAGUAGUUGAACUAUGUUUUUUGUUGUUGAACUCUUUUAAGAAAUAGGAAACAGCUUAAUCUAAGCUAUAAAUAAUAACGUAAAAUAUAUUUAUUGGUUUAAACAAGCACACAGUCAAUUCAAAGCAAGGCAGCCUUCAUUUUCACUUCAGUCCAGGUCCAAACAGUACCAUGGAAGAAAACUGGAGACCAUUAUGGGGGUUUUCAACCACUCUCUGAACUUCUUGAAAAGUCCUUACUAAGAUAUGAAUAGAUUUAAGAAAGGUGUUGUUUUAUGAAGGAGAUUUAGAUCAUCAAUUAUUGGAAGAAGCAAGAGGGUAUUUGCAGGACCACUCAAAAUUUCACCUGCCAUACUCUCCAUCAACCACUUUUUAACAUCAUUCUCCAAGAACAGUUAUAAAAAGGCUGACCACGGGUCAAGUCCAGGAUAUUCUUGUCCCACAGAAGAGCAAGAUGAGAUUCUAAAUAAUUCAGGAACUUCCCUGGUUCCUUGGUGAUCAUCCGGGGCUAAAGCCUAUAGAUCUUACACCCUCCAAGGAACUUAACUUCUUCCUUGAGAGUGGGCUAAAGGAUUCCAGAAGUGCAAUUUCCCGAUGACCAAAAUAUUUUUAUUUUGAACAAUAAUAAUAAAAAUAAAGCUUAGCUUUUAAUAAUGUUUUCUGUUUACAAGACUUUGACAUGAAUUAUCUUAUUUAUCAGUUAAACGAUUACCCCAUUUAAAACAUUAACUAGGCAGUCUACAUAGAAAAAAAGCCCGGGUACAGAUAUGCAUCUCUAGACACAUUUACCUUAGUGCUCACACCCUCAUUAUGAGAGUAGUGGAGUCGCUAUCUUGACUUUGAGAAAUAACAUGACUUCACAUACACACUAGUUAAUCUAGCUUUUGAGAUAGGUAGGUAUUAACUGUCAUUAAGACUCUGAUUUUUUAGUUAGAAAAACGGAGACAAGCCAGUAAGUCAAUAAAGCAACCAAGAUUACUAAGAGUAAAGGAAGGAAGCCAGGUUGCUGGCAGCCCAGUGUAGACAGCAGCCUCUUCCCAGUGGAGCAGGAUUGGCUGGUUGACCACAGGGACAAACCCAGCAGAUGGGUCAAGAUAGCAGCUGCUUGCAUGCUUGCCUCUUCCUGCUGACAUAUUCACUGGGUCUCAGCACUACCCCUGCAGGAGCCAUACUCUAUUAAGUUCUUAUUACAUGGCACCAGGCACUGUGCCAAACAUCUUGCACAUCAUAUGUCACUGAAUUUUCACGAUGUCUCUGUAAAUUGGUACUGUUAUUGUGUCUGUUUUAUAGACGUAGAACUGAAGCUCAGAGAAGCUGAGGGACGUGCCUAAGACUACAGAGCCAGGCAAGUUGCAGAACUGGGAUUAGAACCCAGCUCUGUUUGACUGCAAAGUCUGUUCCUGUCCCCCACUCCCCAUAAACUUCACUGCCCACUUUCCUCCUCCCUUCCUUUCUCCUUCCCACCACUUUGCAGAAUCAGAAUAUAUCAUAGAAGGAAAAAAAUAGCUUUUCCUGACAAGGCCUCUUCUUCUCAAUAUUAUUCUAAUGAGGAUAUUCUAACAGAAACUCUGGGGGCACAUUACAUCUCAUUAGACCCAUUUGAUGUCAAUUAUUAACUCCCCAGGUUAAUUUAACACAUACAAUGGCUAUCAGCUUACAUCCCUAGGCCCUGCUGAUGUAGGGCUUACAAGUAAACCAACUUCCCCCACAGAUAAUCCUAACUCUAGUAGCGAGUUGGCCUUCUGUUCUUGCUGUAAUACCAGAGUCAGGCAGGACAGCUUGUAAGUGUGCACAGGUUCAGGAAAAGGGCUCAGUCAACGGACCAGCAGCUUCGCCUACAAGUGCUUCUGCAAAGUGACAUCGAAGCGCGAUUACAUCUGCUAGUUUUGCUUCAGGCCACGAAGUAACAAACACAAUUGUUAUCAAGGAAUGAAUUGUGCAGAAGAAGAGCUUUGCCAUACUGUUUUCUCCAGGAAGCUGGUGAUGGAAAGAGAUGCUCCGUGCUCACGCCAUCCGCUCCUCGCCUCCUCCUCCAGCAACAGCACAGAGAAAGUCAGCAUUGGCUUCUUGAACGCUGAGCUCAUGAUUCUUUUCAUGGUUAGAUGCAGAUGCUCAAAAUUAAAUCUUUCAGAGACCUCAAACAAGGACGUUUCCCCCACCUCUGGAAAUCCCUCACUCAGCUUGAGUUGUUGUUGCUUCUGAAGGAGGCUUGUCCCCUCAGUGUUCCCCUCAGCUGCGCCCAGUGCCAUAGCUGGCUGGUCAAGAAGGGAUUUAAAGGGGCUCUAAGUCAGUGGGUUUCAAACUUGACUGUACUGUAGAAUCACCUGGAAAGUUUUAAACAAUACCCAUGCUUGGUACCACUGCCUGAGAUCCCAAUUUAGUCUGAGCACUUCUCUCUGCUAAAAAUUGGGCAGAAUUGAUCAUUUCAAGACUUAUUUUGGGAAUAAUUGUGCAAGAUUCCUGUUAAUGGGAUUUCUGGGAAAUCUGAAUGGACGCAAAGAGUGUGCGUGUGUGUGUGUGUGUGUGUGUGUGUGUGGUUGGGAGGGAGAGGGAAGUUUUAGAGGUCCCCUAACAUCAGUGUCCUCGCGAUGCUUCAGCCACAUUUCAUCCUUUCAGGUUGCAUGACUGCACACCUUCCCUUGCUGUUCCCUGUACCUGAAAACCUUUCUCUCCUGUCAUAGCCCCACUAGAGCCUUCUAUCUUGCUUCCUCCAGAAAGCCUCUCUGGGUCCCCUGGGCAGGGCUGGACCUCUGUUAUUCCCCCAAGGCAUUCUGGGCUUCUCCUUUAGAAUCCACGCCACAUGUUACUUGAUACCUAUUUCCACCCCCAAAUUAUAAGCACCAGGAGUACAAGAUCCUCCUCUGUAUUAGUCAGCUUAUAUCCUGCUGCCCAGCACUGUGCCUGGUACACAAUAAAUGGUCAAUAACCAUUUGCUGAACAAUUGAAUGUGGAUCAUUAUUUACUCCUCCCACUAUUUAGAUUGGAAAUGUCCUUGCUUCCAAUGGCCAUGCGACACCAGUGUCUAUAGGAUCCUGUAUUCCAGUGGUGGCAACCCGUUUGGUCUAUCUUCAAGGGCCCCUCUUGCUGGCCUUUGCCCUCUCUGUGUAAAGCAGGUAGCAGCAUACAGAGAUCAUCUCUGAAAGUCUGACCUCAGCUUGGGCUGGAAAGAGCACUGACAAGUCUAGAGAUGGGGGUUCAAGCUUGCCUCUCUUAAUAUAGUCUACUUGAGGGGUUGUGUGAAAGGUAUUUGAGAAAGCCUAUGGAAGUUCUAUUUAAGCAGCAAAAUGUUGAAUAAAUUGCGUUAGCCACCAUGUUCAGCACAGCGGCCCUUCUCUCAGGUCAGCACCUAAAGGACCUGCAGGCCCCAUUUAUUGGGUGCCCACCGACCUGUGAUACACAAGAACAUACUAAGGGUUGUCUGUACCCUGCAGGAACCACCAGUGUAGUCUCACCAUUUUGGGGUUAAAAAGUUAGCUACCCCAAGAGUCUGGAAGUUAUGAACAUCCUGUCUUCCUUGGGAUUAUAUCUCCUCGGGUACAUUUUACAUAGUAACUAUUUCACCUUGUAACUGUGUCUUUUCCUGGCCAAGUCACCUCCUACCUUUGAAACACCUUGUUUCUGAAUUAGAUGCAUACGUUAUUCACUCCUUUCUAUCUUAAGCACAUUUUUCAAUUCCUUUUACUCCAUCAGCCACCUGGGUCUGGACAGCCUGGGGUCAGGGUGGCAGCUGGCUUUGGAGGUGGUCAUCAGACUGCUGACCAGUUUUAUGUCCAAACUGAAAGAACUGAUCUCUCAGCAGAGUCAAAGAAGUUACGACAUCCUUUGGGCUAGAAUAAGGAGUCAAGCUUCACAUAGAAAUUUUGACACCCAGGAGUGGGUGCAAUUUUCUAGCUCUCCUCAAACUCCUCCCUCCUCCGCAAAGGCCCUCACUGGGAACAGAAUCCUUGACUUCCGGUGCCCCCAUCCUGUGCGUGAACCUGGCAGGAGUUCACUUAGGAGCACCAGGCUCCCCUCUCAGAAAAUGCCAUCAGUCCCAGCUCCUCCAAUGCCGUCCUGAGCAGUGCCUGGGAGGGCACUUCAUUUCUGUGAGCUUCUGUUUCCUCAUCUGCAAAUCAGGAGGAUGAGCUCCCUUGUCCACAAGGCCCCCUCCAUUCCUAACCCUAGUAAUAUGUAAUGACACUCGCACACCUAUGGCACUGAUUGAACAGACAGGGCUUUCCUUUUUUCUCUUUUUUUGACAAUAUUUGAAAUGAUAAAAAGACUAUUUUCUUUAUUCUUGGCUCUGAAAGGGUGAGACAAACCUCUAAUGUGUCUACUUAAAAGAAAGGAAAAACGUUAGCUCCUAGGAGAAUGUGAUAUAUAAACAUAUCACACUGCUUUAAUCUAUGCAAAAAUAUUCAAUUAUUCAUUGAGUUCCUAGUAGAUAGCAGACAUGUGCUAAAUAUUACACAGGAUUACUUAUGUACAUUCUUAAUCAGCCUUACCAUCCAAUUCUGUUCUACCUUACCACCCAAUCAGAGAAAGAAAAUCAUCCCUGAUGUGUACUAGAGGUAGGAUCUGGUGUAAACGUCACUGAGCCAGGAUUUAGGAGACCUCAGUACAGAGUGAACUACUUCUGUCUCUCUUUCUAGCUGGGACACGGCUCCCAUCCAAACAAAUUAAUUUCGGGCUCAAUCAUUGCAAUGGGUUCCUCCAAUCCUUUCCAGCUCUUAAAUUAUACCAUCUGCAAAAGACUGUUGCAAAAGAUAUCCACCUUCUUUAGCCAUUCUUUAAUUUGCAAUUCUUAAUGCAAAUUAAAACAAUAAGAUAUCACUACACACCUGGCACAAUAGCUAAGAUAAAUAUUGGCAACACCAAAUGCUGGAGAAGAUGAAGAUAAACUGGAUGCUUCCUACAUUGUUUGUAGACUAUAACAUGGUACAGCGCCUCUGGAAAACAGUUUGGCAGUUUCUUAUAAAACUAAACAUGCAUCUACAAUACAACCCCACAAUUGCACUCAUGCACAUGUAUUGCAGAGAAAUGAAAACAGGCUCAUACAAAAACCUGCACAUGCCUAUUCAUAGAUUUAUUCAUAUUAGCAUAAAAUAGGAAACAACCCAUAUGUUCUUCAGUGGGUGAAGGGUUAAACAAACUGUGAUACAUCCAUACUGUGGAAUAUUAUUCAGUGGUAAAAAGGAACAAACUAUCGAUACAUACAACAUCUUGGAUCAAUCUCCAGGGCAUUACACUAAAUGGAAAAAAACAAUGCCAAAAUGUUAUAUACUGUAUGCUUCCAUUUAUAUAGCAUGUUAAAAUAACAAAAUUAGAGAAAUGGAAAAUAGAUUAGUGGUUGCCAGGGAUCAGCGAUGGGGGAGGGGUGAAAUGGGAAGCUGGAUGUGGUAUAGUAUGUCAACAAGAGGAAUCUUUGUGGCGAUGGAAUUGUUCUGUAUCUUGACUGUAUCAACGUCAAUAUUUCGGAUAUCACACUUUAGUUUUCAAGAUGUUACCAUUGGGGGAAACUGGGUAAGGUUUACAGGUUAUGCAGUACAUAGGAUUUCUGUAUCUUAUUUCUUACCACUGCAUUUGAAUCUGCGAUCCCCUCAAAUAAAAAGUUUAAUUUAAAACAAA
ensembl:lncRNA